CCGCCCCCCACCCCGCCCCAAGUUUUGUUUGGCGUGCAUAGAGUUAAUUUUCUUCCUGAGAAACAGUUGUCACCAUUACAAAGCUGGUGUAUUUUACACAAAAAUGGGGAUUUUUCACCUUGUCUUGGAAAACAAGAGCUCUGGCAACAUACAAAGCGCCCCCCCCAACCCCCCUCUCCAACCUGUGUACCUGGCACCCGUGGGCUAGGGGGAGGGGUGGGUGGAUGAGGCAGCUGAGGCCCCAGAGAGGGCUGUGCACUUGGCAAGAGUCACACAGCAAGUGUUCGGAGGUGCCUGGGUCAGAUAGCAGAGACACAGAGGGGUGAUGAGUCCUUAUGAAGGUCUCUUCUGGGGGGAAGACCUGAAUGGAGAGGGGUCUGAAAAUCAUGAGAAGGAGAUGGGGUUCUGUGACUCUUCCAUCUGAGAGAGGAGAUGCCUCGGGGAGUGAAGUGGGGGCAGGAAUGGUUGUUUCCAGGUGGGAAGGGUGUUCUCUGUGCCUUUAGGGGGCCACAGCCAGCAUUCACUGAAUGCUUUUGUGUGCCAGGCACGAUGCAAAGCGUGUCCCAUGUGGCAUCCUUCAUAACAGCCAAAGAAAGAGACACAUUCGGUGCGCCUGGGUGGCUCAGUCCGUUAAGUGUCCGACUCUUGAUUUCGGCUCAGGUUGUGAUCCCUGGGUCAUGCGAUCAAGCUCUGCUUCGAGCCCUGCAUUGGGCUCCAUGCUAAGCUUAAGACUCUCUCCCUCCCUCUCCCUCUGCCCCUCCAAGCCUUGUGCUCUCUCUUUCAAAAUAAAUAAAUAAACUUUAAAAAAUAUGCACAUUUGCAACCCUCCUUUUGGUAAGAAACAAAGGCUCCGAGAGGUUUCACAAAUUGCCUCGUGUCUCUGUGGUCGACUUUACCAUUGGCAUGAAUAUUUUGCUUUUUUUUUCUCCUUCCUGGGUACACAAAAAAGUACAUUUCCCAGCCCCUUGCAGGUGGGCCUGGCCAUAGGACUAGUUCUGGCCAAUGGAAUGUGGGGUGGAAGUGAUGGGUGCCUGUUUCGGGCUGAAGCUGGGACACCCCCUUGUAAUUACAGAGUCUGUCUCUCUCUGCCUGUCCACCCACCCAGGUGGUGAGGGACGAGGCUUUGUGAGGUGGCUGGACAGUUCUAAGCAGUUAGCAUGAGGGGGACAGCUGCCCAACCCUGUUGCCUUGACCUUGAGUAGAUUUGCCUUAAACAAACUUUUGUGGUUGUUAAGCAGCUGAGACACGGGGGUUGUUUGUAACUGUGGCAGAUCCUAGCCAAGCUUGAUUAAUACAUCACAAAGCUAGAAGGGGGGGGGGGGGUGGCUGGGAUUUGAACCCACAUCUUACUGACCGAAGACUCUUACCUGUUACUCUAGAAGCAGAAUUAGUAAGGGCAGGUGUGGAUUCCAUUGAUUCAAUGACACACAGUCCCUCUCUCCAUGCACAUUUUAACCUUCCUGAAUCAGGUUUCGUCUCAUAAUCAGCGGCGUCUCACAGUCCUUGUUGGGCUGGUGGCAGUCACACAGGUUGCCUGAUGCCUUUUUGCAAGACUUUAAAAAGAAGUGCCAGCAUCCAAACUUGAAGAGUGACUGUCUACUUGAAAUAAAAUCUCUGGGACAAGGUGGCACACUCUUUCAAGAAAUGUCACAUCACCUACACUCUUGAUGUCCUGGAAGACGAUAUUGUGUGAAAAACACAAACAUCAAUGAGUCUGAGUUGAAAAGAGAUUCACAAGAGCUGAACUCUGAAUGUGAAGAUGUUUGGGGAUAACUUGACCAAUUUAUUUUGCUGGUAUUUUCCAUUUUCUAUGUGCACAAUAGUGAUAUAGGAUAAAAAUCUAUGCCUAAAUAAGUCUACACGAGCCCUUUCAAUUGGUAUAAAAUAAAAAUUCUAAGUGAUAAUAAAGCACCACGUCUGGCUUUAAUUGGCAGCAUUUUUUCUUUCUUAGCAGUACAUAAAGAUGCACCCUUCAAUCGAUGGCAUCUUAUAUUUGCGGAAAUAUAGUCCCUGUGGAUCCCAGGAGGCGGAAUUGCCAGCACAGGAAGCCUGGGGCCCCUGCACAGCCUGCUGGUGUGGAGAAGCUGCACCAUCCCCGGGGGGCUCCCUUCUCAGGGGCCCCUCCUGUGCCCCCAGGCACCUGGCUUUGACAUUCUUCUCUGAAGAUUCUCUUUCCAACCGCUUCUGGUUUAGGCUGCUCAGUGGGGCUGAUAGAGUUCGGGACAAAUGCAGACUUCGCAGAGGGAAUGAGGAAUCCUUAGAAUGUAAUAAAGAGAAAGGGAGAGGGCUCCCCAGGCCCCUUGCAGGGAAAUCAAGUGAAAUGGCCAGAAUGAAGAUGAAGACAGCUGCUGUCUUUUUCUGUAGGUCUUCCUUUGCGUCAGGGGCCUGGACUGUGGCCGUGGCUCAGACGGCAACUCUGUGGGACCAGACCUGGGGACCUGGGGUUGGGGGCGCUGAAAAGGAGAGGGGCGUGUUCUGUGAAUUCCAACCGCUUUUUGUUCUCACCCCUGCUCAGUGUUGUCCCUGCCAUUGUCCCCCUCUCUGACUGUAUCAGUCAGGGCAGCCUGUGUCAUGCUGCGGUAACAAACAUCCCCCCACAUGUCAGUCUCAGUGGCCUGUAAUCAUAAAGGUUUCGUUCUCUCUCAUGCUUUCUGCCCCUCACAAGCCCCUCUUCACCCAGGGACCUGGAGGACAGAACAUCCACUAUCUGUGGCAUCCCCCAUUGCCCACUCAGUAGCCACAUCCACCACCUCUGCUCGAACGUCAUGGCUAAUACAAGUCCUGUGGCCACGGCCAGUGUAAAAGGACAUGCAAUCCUGCCACAUAACCAGGAGGCCGAGAGACAGACUACUUCUGCAAAUUCCUAUUGACUCUCACAUUGACCACAUCCCUGUUUCUUGCCAGGAUCUUGUCUGUCACCACUCUCAUCACUGGCCAUGCUCUGUCUCUCAGAGUCUCCACAUCCUUUAUCACGUGCCCAGGAGUGAGGCUGUACUUUUGAGACCGCGGGUUCUGGAAAUGCAGAACUGUUUCCGUUCUUCUCCUCUGACACCUACCACAUCGUACGCUUAGUUCCAUGGCUGAUUGCGCUGCUGGGCUGCAAACGCUCAAAAUCCAGGAGGGUGGCCAUGCGUUCUGUGCCCCCAGGCACAAAGCCUGGCUCAGAGGAGGUGAGCAUUUGGAAAAAGAAUGGAUAAUUAAGUGAAAAAUGCAAUGAGCCUGUUGGAGGGAUGAAAUGCUCCUCGUGUGGGGGAGUCCAUAUGGCCAAACUGAAAGUCCGCUCUCUGACCCUUGAGAAGCACCAUCGGAAAUGCCCAGGGAUCUCAGAGAGUGUGUGUCCGUGUGUGUAUGGGAUGUGAGGAGACCCCAGUACUUUGGACACAUCCUUAGGAGUUGGGCUGUGGCCUGGCUGCAAAAAGGCAGGUUAGGGUUGAUGGAUCUCCAUGUGUCAUCUCAUUACUGAGAGAGAGCGUCACCAGAUCAACACAGCUGUUCAGUGUAGACCAAUGGCUCUCAGCCUCCCCUGGCCCGACCCACACGGCCAAUGGCAUCCACAUGAGCGUCUUGCUGUGAACAUAUCCAGCCUAUGAUUGGAAGCACAGACAAAGCCGACUGUGGGGUACAUGCAAUCCCCCCUAACUGGCUGUGUGUCCACUGCUUCCUUUCCCUGCACGGAAGCUGAUCUGAAAGCCAGUGAGGGAGGGGAACUUUUUUAUGGUGUUUUUUUCAGGACACUUUUUGGCUGCAGGUGACAUAGAACCAGUUAGCACGGUCUUGGACAAACAAAAGGGAGUUUGUUUAUUUCUCCCAAAAGUUCAAGGUAAAUGACUUCAGGCACACCUGCAUCCAGGUGUUCAAAUGAUGUGGCCAGGUGUCUGUUGAUGAGGUGCUCUGUGCAAAAGAACGCACUGACAAUUACUGAGCAUUUCCUUUGUUCUGGGAACCGUGCUAACACUUUACUUCGUGCCCCAUCAACUUUAACCCUCGCAACCCUACAAAGUAGGUUCUGUUAUUAAUUACACUAUGCAGCUGAGGAAAUGAAGGCUCAGAGACGCUUAGUAACUUUCCCAAGGUCACACAGCUAGUAGGUGGCUGACCCAGGAUCCCACUGCUGUCUGACACUAGGGGUUCACUCCCGGUUCUUGUCAUGUUCCUGCUUCCGGCUAGAGAUAUGUAUUUGAAGCCACCACAUCCCUGAUUCUCUCGCUCAGACUCCAGAGGCAGGUUCCCUGAGGGACAUUUCAGUCCUUAGGAACCCCAGGACUAGAGAUAUUAACUGUCACCUGCCAUCCACUCCCUCUCUGUAGAAGGCUUUGCUCCACACAGCCCUUGCCACCUUCAGCUGUCAUCUCUUAUAGUGGAUGACUCCACCCCUUAUCUUCCCUGUCAUGGCCGAUUGGACCAACCGUAGUCAUGUGACCCGGGGACUGCCAAUCUAUAGGCUGGCCCACCACCUAUCACUGUGUGGUUUGUAUGGGCUUGGCCAAUCAGAUUCUCCCCUGGAAUGUGAACUCAGACUCGGGGAAACUCCCAGUUGGUGCUGGCAGUUGAACUUGGAUGCCAAGUAGAUUCAGGGUUGGAGUGGCCAUUUUGGACACCUGAGUCCCCUUCCAAGGAAGCCAGGAGGCUGACAGAUGAGGUCCCGGCUGCUGCAGAGGGCAGAGUAGAAAUGACACAGAGGGAUGGCUUUGUAAAGACUGGAAGUGGCCCGUGUCUGUUGUGUUUACCACCAUAUCACAGGCACCCAGCAUGACAUCUGCCAGCCAGGAGGCAGCCAGCCAAUGUUUGUGGAACGGGAGGCUGAAGCUCAGAGAGGUAAUCGACACAUGUGGAACUCCACUGCUAAUAAGCACGAGGUGGCAUUCUAGUCACCGGACACAAACCCCAAAUCUCUGCCCCUGUGGAGUUCGCGGGAAAGACAACGACGGGUAAAAUAAGUGAGGAAGUUAUACAUUCAGAGGUCAGUUCCUGAAGAGGGGAAAGUGAAUCAGGGCUAAGGGACGGGACAGGUGGCGAGGGGCUGGAGUUUAAAAUAGAGCGUUCGCUGUGGUGCCUGGCUGGCUCAGUCGGUGGAGCGUGUGACUCUUGAUCUCAGGGUAGUGAGUUCCAUCUCCAUGUUGGGUGUAGAGAUUCCUUAAAAAUGAAAUCUAAAUAAAAUAAAAUAAAAUAAAAUAAAAUAAAAUAAAAUAAAAUAAAAUAAAAUAAAAUAAAGCAGUCAGGGAGGGCCUCCUUGAGAAGCUGAUAUUUGAGUGGAGAUCUGAAGGUGUAAAAAGUAUUCCAGGAUGGGGAAGCAGCAAGUGCAAAGGCCCUGAGGCAGGAGUGUGCCUGGGGAGGCAAAUGUGCCAGGGUGCAACAGGCAAGUGGGAGGGGAGUAGAAAGGAGCCCAGAAAGGCCGUUGAAAGGACUUUUUAUCAGAGAGGUGGAAGCUGAAGUGGGAGUUUGAGAAGAGGGGGACUGUAAUGGACAGGGUUUAACGUGUCAGUCUGGCUGCUGUGCUGAGAGGACACUGUAGAGGGGCCAGGGCUGGGUGGGAGCAUGGAAGCCGGAGGGGCUACUGCAGUGCGUCAGGUGACAGAUGCUGGUGGCUUGGACCGGGGCACGCGGGGAUGAGAGACCCUCUCAGGAGUGAACUUGUCCAGCCCUUGGGAGACGGCCCCUGACCCUACAAGCCCCUGAGUGCGAUUUUGUGGCCUUGGUGGCGAUGGGAUCGCCCCUGAUGCUCCAGAGAUUGGCCGCAGAACAGCAAUGGUGGUGACAAGCGGCCUUAAUUGCUUUGAGUGUUUGCAUCAGAGGAAAAUCCCGCUCUUUCUGUAAAAAACAGAAGGAGCCGCUCCGUGGGCACCGCGGGCAGAGCUGGGACGCGAGGGGCUUGCCAGAGUGUGGGUGCCUGUGGGAAGCAGGUGAGGGAGCGAGAGCAGGGGUGUCUGAUGCUCACGGUCGGUCUGCAGGCUUCCUUGGAGUCAGAGCUGGAUACACCCUGGGAGGGGGGCAGGGGCUUCAUCCGGGCUGAUGCCCUCCCCUGCUGGGGCCAUACAGCUGCUCACGAGGCACUGCCCUGGGCCUCACCCACGGAGAUGCGCCUCCCAGAGCAGCCACGGCCAGUCAUUGACCAGCUGGGGGUGCAGAGACCCGGGAGCAGCCACGGCCAGUGAUUGACCAGCUGGAGGUGCAGAGACCCGGUCCCUUUGUCUCAAUUCGGGACAACACCGAGGAGCCACCUGGCUCCAGAGCUCAUCACGGGACAGGUGGCCGCCUCCCUUGCAACCACACCGCAGGCCAGCUCGUCCCUCCGCCAGGGCCGCCCACAUCACUUCCCCAGGGCACCCCCAUCCACCUCACCGAACCCCGCCUCCCAGUCUGUUUCCAGGGGACCCCGUCCGGUGCAGUGGGUCGCAUGGUUUCUGACAGCUCCAUUUGGUGGGCCCCUGGUGGCUCACACCUCACCUGCCUGAGACCAAGUCCGCCGUCCUUCCUGCCUCCUCCACGGCAGCCCCUCCUGUGGCCUCCCUCAUCUGGGGGUCGCGUUGCCGGCUACCCAGUUACCCAAGCCAGAAAUACCGGGGUCACCCCGAUACAGCUCCUUCCCUCACCUCCUCAUUAUUGCACCCGCCAUCAUGUCCUGUCGGCUGCCCUCAAGUCUGUUUCCCCACAUCCGUCUCAGGGGCCAGCCACGGCCAUCUCCUGCUUGGACAAAGAGAUCGACCUUUUCACAGGCUUCCCUGCCUCCAGCCUGGUCUUGCUCCGAUCUGCCCUUCCUAGACUGAAUACAAGCCCCAAAUAUAAUUCAGAUUUGUCCCCCUUCUCUCUUAUAUAUACAUAUAUAUGUAUGAAUAUAUGCAUGAAUCAAAUGCAUAUAUUAUACAUAUAUAAUGCACAUACUAUAUAUGAUAUACAUACAUAUAUACACAUAUGUCAUAUGUAAAAUAAACACACAUACAUGUGUAUGUUUACUCCAUCUAUUCCAGACAAAGGUGACUGUGUGCUUGGUUAUGUAGUUGAUUCUAUGUUAUACAUAUUAUGGCCAUAAUAUGCUCUUCUCUCUCUCUCUUUAAAAAAUGUUUAAUGCUUAUUUAUUUUUGAGAGAGAGAGAGUGUGAGCAGGAGAUGGGCAGAGAGAGAGACACACACACAGAA